GAUGGGCUAACUGACCUGCCUUUUCAUUCUCAUCGAUUAUCCUUCAUUGAUACCACGCCAGCGUAUACCGUUAGUGCAAGCGGGGCUACCAAUCCAUUAGCGUCCAUUAAAAAAAUAAUCACACCCUAGAACCGUUAAGGCGCUAAAAGAUUACAAACAAAUUCCCUUUCAUAUUUUAAUGUUAGUAAGUAUUAUAUUAGGGAAACGACAUCUUUCGCCCCUUAUAAUCUUGUUGUGGCAAAUCUAAUAUGAAGAACGCCAUAUCCAGGGGAAUACUAAGAGACCACCAUGAACUGCUACAACUACUCCAAAGCUGACAAAUAUGUAGUUUUAAUACUCAGUUAAUAUGGUGGCGUGGUGGUAGCGGGAGCGUCGGGUGCACGGGCGCGCCAUAGCCAAGUUCCCCCCAGAAUUCUGGCGUCGCAUUCCGCUUGGUCAUUCCACGAGUCAUAAUUCCACGAGCAUAUGUACCGAUCCGAUCCGAGCAUUGAGGAUGUGAAUGUGGAGGCAUCAAGAAUUAAAAGCCUUUUAAUGACAACCUGCAAGCGACAUCGGCUGGAUGGUGUUACGCAGAAGAACACCAUGAAAAUUAAAUAAAUAAAUAAAUAAAUAUUUUCACGAUUUCUUAAUUAGUCAAAGGCAAUUGUAGACUGUUGUCAUCGUGAUUAAUGUAAAAUUCGCUAUGCCCACAAUUCGCCGAUCAUAUUAAUAUCUAAAUAGAUUAAAAAGACACUAAAGAUGCAAAAAUAAAUUAUAUGUUUUUCUAAUAAUAGACAAAUUAUUUUAGAAGGCGUUCAAGUAUUUUUGAAGCAAUUUUUGAAGAUUUUUCACCUUUUUUUCCCCACUAUGUAACACGUCGUAACAUUUAUUUGCAUGCCUCUCCCGCUCCCUAAACGAUAUAAACAAUGUAUUCUCCGUAAAACAUAAACAAAAAGAGUUGGCGACUUGGAAGAUUUAAAUUCUCUAGUUUAUUAUAUAAUUAAGAAAAAAUCAAUGUUACGUAACGUGUUAUUCGAACUCCACUCCCACUCCUGUAACGCAUCGUAACGUUUUACAAAAGCUCCCUUUCCUCGAAUUGUGUUACGUAAUACUUGAACGCCUCCAUAUUAGAUUUAAAAAUAAGAGAAUCGAAUAUGGGAUUACAUUAUUACACUUUAACUGCAAACGUAAUUUCGGAUUUGACCCAAAUCAAAAUAUUUGUGCAUAUCGAGUGUUAUGUUCCCCACAUUUUGUUUUGCUUUAUUUUAUUUUAUGAAAAAAAAAUAACAAUAACAAAUUGAGAACAGACAAUGAGUUUCUUCUUAUUUUUUUGUUUCAUUAGUUCUUUUUUUAUUCAAUGUAUAAUAUAUGUAUAAUGUGAGUAUUAUAUAGGUUAUUUUAAAAUUAAUGUUUUAAUAUUAAUUUUGAUUUUUCUAUUUAAUUGCUCAUUACGUUGCACUGUCAAUUAUAUUUUUUGUUAUUCCUGCUAAACAGUCGACUGGUAGAUAACGCCAUAUGGUCUAAAUCUGCCAUUUUCACUAAGUGUAAAGUUGUUAUAAAUAAAAAAGGUAAUGAAGUGUCACUCCCGUUACUGGGGCAGUCAACAUGGUUACUUUUGGCAUAACACCGUCACCCCUAAGUGCUCUUCGCUUCUUAAAACCACCUAUGGUUUUAUCGAAAAGCGUGCACGUACAGACUGAAUGAACGAUUUUCUAUUUCUUAUAAAUGGCACAUUAAAUAUUCAAGUACAAAUAUAUUGUGAUCAUUUCACCUUAUACUGUUAUUAUUUUUCAGUAGUUUUUUUUAAGGAAUGAUAAAGGUAUGAUAACCCCUGCGUGAUCCGGGGGGAAAGGGAUUGUUAGUAAUGGAAAUUGAGAAUCCCAUUGCUAGCAAUAUACCCAACCAGGUUGACCUCUUCGCGGUUCUCCCUGGAAACUAUCAUGGUUAAUUCCUGAUGAAUUCAUCAUGAUGGGCUAACUGACCUGUUUUUAUUUUUAUCUAUCAGCCUUCACUGGUGCUCCGCCAGCGUAUCCCGUUAGCGCAGGCGGGGAUACCAUACUAUUUUCACCCAUAAAAAAAAAAACUCCACCUGCGCUAUCGGUAUACGCUGGCGAGGUAGCAGUGAGUGAUGACAAAUGAGGAUGAAGUCAGUCUAGUUGACCCAUACUGAUGAAUCUCGACAAAAAUCGAUCAGGAUGGUUUCCAGGCGAAACCGCGAGAAGGUCGACCAGAUAUAAUAUUGCUAGCAAUGGCGGAAAUAAAAAAAAAAAUUAGCAAACAAGCAAGUUACUAUUUAAAAUCAUUUUGCUAUGUGGUUCUGCCAUCGAACAGGCAACCCCUUCUUUUUCCGUGGAUGUCGAAUGAGGCGACUAAGGAAACUUAAUGGACGAGACAAUGGGCAACAACCUCCCUCUUAAAACAUCAUUAAAGCCUAAGUGCAGUUGUCAACCUACCUGCCAAACAUGGCAACUACUGGCAAAAUCCCCAAGGGUGUGGCUUAUGUUCAGUAAUGGACACUUAACGGCUGUGAACAAGUCGACGGUCCAUCUGGAGGCCAGAUGAUGCUUAAUAAAGUACUAUUUAAUACUAAUAAUUCCAUUCUAUGUAUAGAACAAAUAAAAAUUAAUAUCACUUGGAAAGCGCCAAACGUAAUCGCAAUGCCAAUCACAACGUUAAGUACCCUACCUCUAUUAAUUGGCAUACGUCAUUAAAAAAGUUUAAAGCAUGCAACACUAUAGACAAUGAAGGUAAAAGUGCCAAUUCUCGUACACUCACAGGUGCAAUAUUGCACUAAUUAAAGCAAUACAGAAAUGACAUGAUUGUUUACUAGCAUUUCUAUUUUUUUUUUCUUUUUUCACUUGGUAAAGGCAAACAAGCUGAUAGGCCACUUAAUGAAAUGAUAACUGUCGCCUACAAUUACAGUAUAACUAGCAACCUGCUUCGUUUACGUGCGGUUUUUUUU